rnacentral:rRNA from 1 species
UACGUAGGGCGCAAGCGUUAUCCGGAAUUAUUGGGCGUAAAGAGCUCGUAGGCGGUUCGUCGCGUCGGCUGUGAAAUCCCGGAGCUCAACUCCGGGUCUGCAGUCGAUACGGGCGGACUUGAGUACUGCAGGGGAGACUGGAAUUCCUGGUGUAGCGGUGAAAUGCGCAGAUAUCAGGAGGAACACCGGUGGCGAAGGCGGGUCUCUGGGCAGUAACUGACGCUGAGGAGCGAAAGCGUGGGGAGCGAACAGG